rnacentral:rRNA from 1 species
AUUGAACGCUGGCGGCAGGCUUAACACAUGCAAGUCGAACGAGUGGCGGACGGGUGAGAAAUGUCUGGGAAACUGCCUGAUGGAGGGGGAUAACUACUGGAAACUGUAGCUAAUACCGCAUACCAUCGGAUGUGCCCAGAUGGGAUUAGCUAGUAGGUGGGGUAAAGGCUCACCUAGGCGGCGAUCCCUAGCUGGUCUGAGAGGAUGACCAGCCACACUGGAACUGGGACACGGUCCCAACUCCUACGGGAGGCAGCAGUGGGGAAUAUUGCACAAUGGGCGCAAGCCUGAUGCAGCCAGGCCGCGUGUAUGAAGAAGGCCUUCGGGUUGUAAAGUACUUUCAGCGGGGAGGCGUUACCCGCAGAAGAAGCACCGGCUAACUCCGUGCCAGCAGCCGCGGUAAUAC